CAAAGAACAAAUAGCAUAAACUAUUUAAAAAACAUUACUUGAACAUUACACAGUGCCAGUGAGAGGUCUUGGUGGAUUCAAACUGCAUCAUGGGAACAUUUUCAGCCAGAAUAGUUUCUGUUUUAUAUUUUUAGCUCUCAGAGCCAAAACAGCCAGUGAGGAAGUAGCCUUGCUGCCACUUGCACUGUGCACACCAGAGACAACGGGUGGAAGAUAUGCUGUGAUAUUUUCCUGUUAUCUGGGUCUUUCCUGGGUCUAACAUUUGGGACUUAAGCACUGGUAGAGGUGUUAGAGCCAGGAGCCCCCAGAGGAGUCUCUGUCUGUGACUCACCUGAGUGGCCUUAGUGUUCCAGAAGUAGCCAACCUGAUUCCCCUCUCAGGGCCUGCGUUAAUUUCCUAGGUUCCCAUGCUGGCUUUUGCUGCUGUUGUGGGGCAGGGGGCUGCCCUCCUUCAGGAAUUUGAGGCUCCUUUCUUCUACACACAGCCCUGGAGCCAGAGGUUUUCCCCACCCCUCACCAGGUCAGCUCACUGGUUCUCAUGAACAUUCAGAAAGUUCUCCUUUCCCCAGCACUGGCCAAAUUGCCAGCUGGGCUGGUUUUGCCCAGUGGCUCCUGAGCAACUCAGAGGGAGUGGUCGCACAGUUCAACAGGUAAUCGUGUACCACCUCCAGCAGUUCUUAUCUUUAUGUGUGGGUCAGAGCUGCUAAAGAUGGGGGACACACCUCGAGUUUCUCAUGGCCUAGCAGACACUUCUUGGGAAUGGGUGGGGAGGGCUGGGUGAACCUGACAGGAAACUGCUCUCUCCACAAACUCCUGCGACUUCUCACCUCCCCACUGCACCUGCUGGGAAGCAUGAAGGAGAGCAAAUCAAGAAGCUUUGCUUCUUAAUGGGACACAAUUAAAUGUUAACGACCAGUGACCUCACAGAAUGACUGCCUUACUUGUCAUUGGCUCAUCUGUGCCUGUGUGUACCUUCUGGGCAUCAGAAAAUUAUAUAAUUAAGUAUAAAUUACCACAGACACGUCACCACACAGUGUUAUUCCUGGGAGACUUAAUUGGCAAGCUUUGUGUUCCUGUGUGCUUCUCAUCUGAGCACCUCCUUCGCUUUACAAAUAGCAUAUCCUUAAUCCUUUGCAACAGCCAUACACACAGCUUGAUUUAAUGGAUUAAAAACCGCAACCUGAAGUCAUUCUGUGCUGAGAUGUGCACACCCCCAGCCCCCAACCCCCACCACAAGAAGUAGGUGUCCCCCACUGUUCUCCCUGGAAACUUCAGGAGCUGUUUUCCAAAGUUCAUGUGAAAAUGGUCAGAGGCAAGUGGAGUGUUGACAGUUGCUGAUACCCAGUUCCUCAACCCUAACCACUCCUGUGGUAGCCGAAUUCUAAGAGACUCCAUGAACAGGGGCUUCUAGAAAGAAGUGGGAUUUAUUGACCUAUCUGUCUGUCUGUCUGUCCGUCUGUCUAUAUAUCCGUCCAUCUAUCAUCUAUCCGUCCAUCUUUUCAUCUAUCUUUUUCUGUAUCUUCAUGCAGUUCUAGGACGUGGCAUGAUGGAUGUAUGUACCAGUGUGCUCGGCGCUGAUGCUCAGUGUGACUGUCUCCAGUAUCAGUGGCAUGUGAGGCUGUAGAUAGAUCUGCACCAGCCAGAGCUAUGUCUGAAGACCUUUGAAAGAUAUGCGUGUUUCACUAAUGAAACAACAACAGCAGCAGCAGCAGCAGCAGCAGAAGCAGCAGCAGCAGCAGAAGCAGCAGCAGAAGCAGCAGCAGAAGCAGCAGCAGCAGCAGAAGCAGCAGCAGCAGCAGAAGCAGCAGCAGCAGCAGAAGCAGCAGCAGAAGCAGCAGCAGCAACUCAGCCCACCUGGAAAGAUGGCUCAGUACUUAAGAGCAUUGGCUGCUCUUCCAGAGGUCCUGAGUUCAAAUCCCAGCACCCACAUGGCAGCACACAACUGUCUGUAACUCCAUUUCCAUGGUGUGACACCCUCAUAUCAAUGCUUAUAAAAUAAAGUCAAAUAAAUUUAAAAA